GGGGCAGGGCGGACGGAGCCGGCGAGCGGGAUGCUGCGGACUGCGCUGCGCGGCGCGCCGAGGUUGCUGAGUCGCGUGCAGCCCCGGGCGCCCUGCCUGAGGCGGCUGUGGGGCCGCGGGGCCCGUCCAGAGGUCGCGGGGAGGCGGCGGGCCUGGGCCUGGGGCUGGCGGCGCUCAAGCUCCGAGCAGGGGCCGGGGCCCGCGGCGGCUCUGGGGCGCGUGGAGGCGGCGCACUACCAGCUCGUCUACACCUGCAAGCCAGGUCUGCGGGACUAGGUCCUCCAAGCGCAUCUCCAAGCUGGCCUAUCACCAAGGCGUGGUCAUUGUGACCUGCCCCGGCUGCCAGAACCACCAUAUCAUCGCUGACAACCUGGGCUGGUUCUCGGACCUGAAUGGGAAGAGAAAUAUCGAAGAGAUCCUGACGGCCAGAGGCGAGCAGGUGCACCGUGUGGCGGGCGAGGGGGCCCUGGAACUGGUUCUGGAGGCUGCAGGGGCCCCCACAUCCACUGCAGCUCCGGAAGCGGGUGAGGAUGAGGGUCCCCCCAGCCCUGGCAAGACGGAGCCGAGCUGACUCCUGCGCUCCCCGGCACUGUGGGACUUCGGCCUUCCAGAAGGAGGUUUUGGCCCUGGGCCUCUCUGGACGUGGCCUGUUUUCUAUCAAUAAACAGACAUUACUUCCAGAUGCUGGGGCCUGUGGCCCUCGUGGCCUUUCUUUUUCUGGAGUUAGAACGAUUGCUCUGAAUCCCUGGUGCUGCUGGGUGGGACAUAGGAGCCGCAGGACCUCUCGCCUCACCACAGUUCCUUCUACACAGAGUCACCCAGCUCUUGCCCACAGAGGCCACAGUCGCGUGGAAAGGGGGCUGGAUGUGGCGUCAGAGCCCUUCCUGGCUGUCGCUGCGUGACUUUGAGCAGGUCACCACCCCUGUGAGCCUCAGCCUUCCUCUGCAAGGCCCUUGCCGCCCCCCUGGCCAGCUCUGGCGGCCUCCCUUCCGUGAGCCAGUGCAGACCUGAGCCCUGGUCCUCGGCCGCCGGCCGUCGGCGAAACAGUGAGCAAACCAGGCUGCCUGCUGGCCCAGGCAGGACGAGCAGCUAUGGCGUGGCCGUGUGUUAGGAGCUCCAGACCCCUCCCGGGGGAGCCACCUGGGCCUCCUUCCCUCGGUGGACAGCGCUCUGGACGUCCCCAGGGCCCUCCGAGGUGUGUGGGGUUUGUCUCCCAGCCUUGUCUGUGCGCAGGAUGUUCCCGUGUUUAUGAAAGCGAGCAAACACAGCAGCCUGUUUAUUUGCAGAAGCGUUCUGGGCAGCGUAACCUUCAGCAUUCAUCACCCGCCACACUCCGGCAGGGAAGAGAAUGGGGCGAGGUGGGAGGUGGAGGCAGGACUGAGCACGACAGGGACCCAGUGCGGCCCCUCCCAGCGGGACACGGCCAGGACUGCCAGCUCACAUCCGGCCCGUGGGAGGCCGGGGCGCGGCGGCAUCGUUCCCAGUGUGCUUGUGGCGUGGGCUUUGCCUCGAUUACCCCCUGUCCUUCUUUCAGCCAACAACCCUCUAUUAUUCCCACCCAGAGCCUUCUGUGCCAUUUGUGGAAACUGUCCUCUUCUCGGCUGAGCCACCGGCACCCAGGCCUGCUCCUCCAUGGAGGCACUGGCUGGGGGUCUCUUGGGGGCUUGGAAGUGCAGUGGGGCUGGGCUUGGCUUGGCUGCCUCACUGCCUCCAGAGGGCCUGGACCAGCAUGUGGGGAGGUCCAGGGAGCCGUCUGGACCUGGAAGUGCAGAAUUAGAGCAAGGAGAGCCGCUUGGGCCAACCCCUCCUCUUACGGAUGGGGAGAUGGCGGCUGGUAGUUGGGAUGUGGACGUUACCAUGUCUUUUCUGUCUGAUGCCAGCACCUCUGGGCCCAGGCUGGCCCUGGAGGGAAAUCCUUCCCAAGGCUGGCACGUUCCUAGAGAAGACCUAUGGCUACCCCCCGCGUGCCAGAAGCAUCCCGCCAGCUCCUGCCUGAGGCCCCCUGGACCCUGUCUCCCUCCGCCCUUCCCUCCCCGCAGCCCCAAUCCCACAGCCAGGUUUCUGCAAGGGGCUUUGCCAUCCUAAUCUCCUGCCACUCUACACCCCCCCGCCCCAGGACAUCCCUGCCUCCCGGGCACGGUUGCUGGCCUGGGCAUCCCUCGUCACAGCGUCUCUCCAAGCAGGUUCCUCGGCCGCACCUUCAGAGGCUGUCCCAGCCAGUAGCGUGGGCGGCACUGCUGCGCUUCCCUGGCUGUGCGCGGUCCUGGGCCCUGCACGGUUACUUGGACCCUGUGUGCGUGUACCACCACACGCAAGCUGGCUGGGACCCUGGACCUGGAGUACACGUUGAUUCUGGUUCCCAAGGCCCCUUCUGGGGUGGAGGAGGCAACGGAGUCAACCAGCACAGAGGCUGUGGCUGCCAACAUGGCCAGGUGGGCUGUGGCGAGGGGCAGCAGGACUGCCCGGCGCACCUGUGUGUCCCCUGACGGGGGCCCCGUGGGGGUGCCACCCACCACAAGCAGCGCCCAGACAAGCCCCAAGACUGCAGAUCUGCCGUCGGCUCCUCCACUGUGGCUCAGUGUCCAGACCCUGAGCCCAGCCGGAUCAGACUCCAGGAAAGGACCUCCCUCCCCCGGGUGCUGGGUGGGCGGCAGCAGGCUGGGUCCUCAGGGGGUCGUGGGGCUGACCUGGGGGCUGCUGCUUCUGGGGGCUGGUCCCGGCCACGUGAGUGUCAGCUCAGAGCAUGCUCUGUUUCCCUAGGGGCUGGGAGCGUGAGGAGGUAGGGGUGCAGGAAUCAGUGGUGACAGCAGGCAGCCACUUCACCCCUCUGUGCCCCAGCUCCCCCGUGGUUAAAUGCAGUGGGAACUCCAUCUCUCUGAGGUCUCAGAGGGCCCAGACAGUGGGUAUCUGUGGACACUUUGCACAGUGCAGCCUCUUACCGGGUUAGGCCCCCACCCGGGACUAAGCCCAUACGGACCACACUCACUUGGCCGACUUUAUUUUUCAGGAAAAACAGAAAAACAAAUGUACCUCUUGGGUUGGAAAGGACCCAUUGACAACAUGGCACAGACGUGAGCAAUAAAUACGCACAUACAUUCAA